AUAAACAAUUUUUUUGCUUUUUAAAAAGUUAGAAGCUUUUCGAUUAAAUAUUUCUUU
rnacentral:tRNA from 1 species